rnacentral:rRNA from 1 species
GGCUCAGGACGAACGCUGGCGGCGUGCCUAACACAUGCAAGUCGAACGAAGCACCUUACUUGAUUCUUCGGAUGAAGGUCUGGUGACUGAGUGGCGGACGGGUGAGUAACGCGUGGGUAACCUGCCCUGUACAGGGGGAUAACAGCUGGAAACGGCUGCUAAUACCGCAUAGGCGCACGAGGAGACAUCUCCUUGUGUGAAAAACUCCGGUGGUACAGGAUGGGCCCGCGUCUGAUUAGCUGGUUGGCAGGGUAACGGCCUACCAAGGCAACGAUCAGUAGCCGGUCUGAGAGGAUGAACGGCCACAUUGGAACUGAGACACGGUCCAAACUCCUACGGGAGGCAGCAGUAG